GACGAACGCUGGCGGCGUGCUUAACACAUGCAAGUCGAACGGAAAGGCCCUGCUUUUGUGGGGUGCUCGAGUGGCGAACGGGUGAGUAACACGUGAGUAACCUGCCCUUGACUUUGGGAUAACUUCAGGAAACUGGGGCUAAUACCGGAUAGGAGCUCCUGCUGCAUGGUGGGGGUUGGAAAGUUUCGGCGGUUGGGGAUGGACUCGCGGCUUAUCAGCUUGUUGGUGGGGUAGUGGCUUACCAAGGCUUUGACGGGUAGCCGGCCUGAGAGGGUGACCGGAACGUGUGUGAGAGAGGCGCCUGCCAGCAGCGGGGGGGAGGAGGCGGUGGGGGAGGAGGGGGGCGGGGCGGGAGGCUGAGGCGGCGACGCCGGGUGGGGGUGUGCGGCCGUCGGGUUGUACACGGCGUGCGGCGGUGACGGGGGGGAGGGGAGGGUGAGGAGUAAAGAAGAACCGGAUAACUACGUGACAGCAGCAGUGGUAAGAGGCGGAGGGGCACCCUUGGGACC
rnacentral:rRNA from 1 species